GGCCAUUAAACUGGUGGGGCUUCCUCAUCUCAUGAAGACCCAAGUCCUGGAAAGAAAGAAGCUAUGAAGCGUUGACUGAAGAUAUUUUGCCUUUUCAGACUGAGAGGUCUGCCAGCCGGGGCAGUCGCUGGAUCCACAGCUCCCCACCUAAGGACAAGGUGGGACUGCUGGAAACAAUCAUUGGAUUCUCAGCAUUUUCACUGGCACUUCUGGGACCAGCGGGAUGGUUCCUGUGCCACCUUUCAAGCUAUAAAAAGAAAUAGAAAACAUCCCUUAAAAAUUA
rnacentral:lncRNA from 1 species